AUGCACACAUGCACGCACGCACAUACACACACACACACACUUCUUAUUCAUGUUGGAGACACAGAGGACAAGUCAGAGGCAAAGAAAGGCUUGGCUGGUCCAACACUGGGCCGGGGGUGGGUCUUGAUUUAUGAUCUUGGAUGAACUGAAGGCAGCACUGAGAGUUUUAUUGUCUUUUACAAGCUCAAAUACGAAGCGUGGAUUCAUAACAAGCCCCUAAUAUCAUCACUUUGCACCUAUUUUUUGUUUUAUCCAGGCUCAUGCUGUGAUAUUUCCAGGUAUGCGAGACAUUUUAAAUCUCUCCUCUGUUCUUUCAUGACAUGUGGUUUGUUAUCUGGGAAAUGUAAACGGCUACAGUAUCAGCUUAUAACAACGCCUAAUAAGGUAAUGUGUCUCCUCUGCUCAUCCAGCGUCUGUCUGGAUACCAUUCAGUGCUCCCAGAGCUCACAAUGGCUCGGACAAAGAGCGGCAUGCAAGGGUCAAUUAAAAAACUGACUAUUCCCCCCACAGGAUCUGCAGAGCUACAUGGGUUAACCAGAAUCAGGUUGGAGUAUUUCAGUCUGGACCAAAGUGGUGGAUGGACCCACAGGCUCACUUUGCCAUCCCUAGAACCUUGCUGCUAUCCAAAAAUGACAUGACGAAUUAUUAAGAAGACUUCGUACAGCUCGUCUAGCUCUUUCUCCGAGUCCUCCGGUUUGGUGUGGACCGGGAUCAGCACUAUGUCCUUCAGCUCUGCAAACCAGAACAACCCCGUCAACUACCAAUGCUCGUCUCCAACAACAUGCCCCACCGUUACAACUUCAUCAUGUAUUCAAGCAGAAAAUGC